GGGGUAGCAAACAGGGAUUAGAUACCCCUGGUAGUCCAUGCCGUAAACGAUGAGUGCUAGGUGUUGGAGGGUUUCCGCCCUUCAGUGCCGCAGCUAACGCAUUAAGCACUCCGCCUGGGGAGUACGACCGCAAGGUUGAAACUCAAAGGAAUUGACGGGGGCCCGCACAAGCGGUGGAGCAUGUGGUUUAAUUCGAAGCAACGCGAAGAACCUUACCAGGUCUUGACAUCCUUUGACCACUCUAGAGAUAGAGCUUUCCCUUCGGGGACAAAGUGACAGGUGGUGCAUGGUUGUCGUCAGCUCGUGUCGUGAGAUGUUGGGUUAAGUCCCGCAACGAGCGCAACCCUUAUUACUAGUUGCCAGCAUUUAGUUGGGCACUCUAGUGAGUCUGCCGGUGACA
rnacentral:rRNA from 1 species